rnacentral:misc_RNA from 1 species
GAUGAAGAACGUAGCGAAAUGCGAUACUUGGUGUGAAUUGCAGAAUCCCGCGAAUCAUCGAGUUUUUGAACGCAAGUUGCGCCCGAAGCCAUUCGGCCGAGGGCACGUCUGCCUGGGUGUCACGCAUCGUUGCCCCCCCAAACUCCGGUUCGGGCGGGGCGGAAGUUGGCCUCCCGUGCGUGCCUGCGCGCGCGGUUAGCCCAAAAGCGAGUCCUCGGCGACGAGCGCCACGACAAUCGGUGGUUUUUUUACCCUCGUUCCUCGUCGUGCGUGUCCCGUCGCCCGAACGCGCUCUUGUGACCCUCACGCGUCGCCUCGGCGGCGCUCCCAACGCGACCCCAGGUCAGGCGGGACUACCCGCUGAGUUUAAGCAUAUCAAUGAGCGGAGGA